GGCUCUGUGAUUAUCUGCCUAAUUAUUAGGCCAUAUACGCUAUUCUGAUAAUUAUCAUGUGGAAGAACUUUUCUAGUAUGAGAGCU